rnacentral:rRNA from 1 species
GAUGAACGCUAGCUACAGGCUUAACACAUGCAAGUCGAGGGGAAACGAUAUUGGAAGCUUGCUUCUGAUAGGCGUCGACCGGCGCACGGGUGAGUAACGCGUAUCCAACCUGCCCAUCACUUGGGGAUAACCUUGCGAAAGUAAGACUAAUACCCAAUGACGUCUCUAGAAGACAUCUGAAAGAGAUUAAAGAUUUAUCGGUGAUGGAUGGGGAUGCGUCUGAUUAGCUUGUUGGCGGGGUAACGGCCCACCAAGGCGACGAUCAGUAGGGGUUCUGAGAGGAAGGUCCCCCANAUUGGAACUGAGACACGGUCCAAACUCCUACGGGAGGCAGCAGUGAGGAAUAUUGGUCAAUGGGACGAGAGUCUGAACCAGCCAAGUAGCGUGCAGGAUGACGGCCCUAUGGGUUGUAAACUGCUUUAUAAGGGAAUAAAGUGAGUCUCGUGAGACUUUUUGCAUGUACCUUAUGAAUAAGGACCGGCUAAUUCCGUGCC